GUGAAUUGAUAAUGCAAGACCGUCAUGUAACAUACCUUCAGAUAGAGGCAUGCCUAUGCAUUUCUCCCACCAGCAUACAUUCGAUAUUGCAUGAACACCUGGCCGUAAAAAAAGUUUGUUCUCGUUGGAUCCCGCACAAUUUGACAAUCGCUCAAAAGAAGGCUCGUGUGGAUUGGUGUAAAGAAAUGCUGAAAAAAUACGAUCGCGGUGCUUCAAAAGACGUUUAUAAGAUCGUCACAGGUGACGAAUCAUGGAUCUAUGCGUAUGAGCCCGAAACAAAACAGCAAUCGACCGUGUGGGUCUUCCAAGGCGAGCCAAAUCCAA